rnacentral:rRNA from 1 species
AAAAGGAGCAAUCCGCUUUGAGAUGGCCUCGCGUCCGAUUAGCUAGUUGGUGAGGUAACGGCCCACCAAGGCGACGAUCGGUAGCCGGACUGAGAGGUUGAACGGCCACAUUGGGACUGAGACACGGCCCAGACUCCUACGGGAGGCAGCAGUGGGGAAUAUUGCACAAUGGGGGAAACCCUGAUGCAGCGACGCCGCGUGGAGGAAGAAGGUCUUCGGAUUGUAAACUCCUGUUGUUGAGGAAGAUAAUGACGGUACUCAACAAGGAAGUGACGGCUAACUACGUGCCAGCAGCCGCGGUAAAACGUAGGUCACAAGCGUUGUCCGGAAUUACUGGGUGUAAAGGGAGCGCAGGCGGGAAGACAAGUUGGAAGUGAAAUCUAUGGGCUCAACCCAUAAACUGCUUUCAAAACUGUUUUUCUUGAGUAGUGCAGAGGUAGGCGGAAUUCCCGGUGUAGCGGUGGAAUGCGUAGAUAUCGGGAGGAACACCAGUGGCGAAGGCGGCCUACUGGGCACCAACUGACGCUGAGGCUCGAAAGUGUGGGUAGCAAACAGGAUUAGAUACCCUGGUAGUCCACACCGUAAACGAUGAUUACUAGGUGUUGGAGGAUUGACCCCUUCAGUGCCGCAGUUAACACAAUAAGUAAUCCACCUGGGGAGUACGACCGCAAGGUUGAAACUCAAAGGAAUUGACGGGGGCCCGCACAAGCAGUGGAGUAUGUGGUUUAAUUCGACGCAACGCGAAGAACCUUACCAAGUCUUGACAUCCCUUGACGAACAUAGAAAUAUGUUUUCUCUUCGGAGCAAGGAGACAGGUGGUGCAUGGUUGUCGUCAGCUCGUGUCGUGAGAUGUUGGGUUAAGUCCCGCAACGAGCGCAACCCUUAUGGUCAGUUACUACGCAAGAGGACUCUGGCCAGACUGCCGUUGACAAAACGGAGGAAGGUGGGGAUGACGUCAAAUCAUCAUGCCCUUUAUGACUUGGGCUACACACGUACUACAAUGGCGUUAAACAAAGAGAAGCAAGACCGCGAGGUGGAGCAAAACUCAGAAACAACGUCCCAGUUCGGACUGCAGGCUGCAACUCGCCUGCACGAAGUCGGAAUUGCUAGUAAUCGUGGAUCAGCAUGCCACGGUGAAUACGUUCCCGGGCCUUGUACACACCGCCCGUCACACCAUGAGAGCCGGGGGGACCCGAAGUCGGUAGUCUAACCGCAAGGAGGACGCCGCCGAAGGUAAAACUGGUGAUUGGGGUGAAGUCGUAACAAGGUAGCCGUAGGAGAACCUGCGGCUG